AAGAAAAUGGAGUUUGAAGGAAUGCAUAUGUUGAAGUUCUGUGCAGGGAAUUGCAGAGAAAAGACUAGAAGGAGACGUGAAAGGAUUUUGGUUGGAAUUUGUUAACAACGACAACAACAAAAAUGAUUGAAAAGCACCUCCCUGCUUUGCCUUCACAGUAGCUGAAUCUUAAAAUUCCAGAUCCCAGACAUGAGAUUUGAUGAAAGGAAUUUUGUUUUGCCACUCCUGCAAGUGGAAGGGAGUUCCAAAGUACCAAUUUGCAUUUUACCUAGAAGACUUCCCAGUUUAAAAGGAUCAAGCUUUGUGUGUUACUGUUAAACCCAUACCCUGUUUUCACAGCUCCUGAUGAGAGACUUGACUUUAUUAUCACAGGUUUCACCCCUCUGCAAGAUUAUGGACAAUUUUUCUGAUAACACCUUUUACUAAAGAGGCCUGUAAAAAGGGACACUUUAAUUUGCUUCAUGAGACAUUAGGCCUCGUCCAGAAGUCUGAAUCCUAUUUUAACAAGUUAUAGUAUUUUGCCUGGGAGCAUGGACUGUUUCUUUCUUAUAUAGGUUUUCCCCAGAAGAUAUUGUUACCCUACAAAGAUGUCAAACCCCAAACCCUUACUCAUUGGUCAUUUGCUAAAGUUAUGAGGCUAAAGAUGGAGAGCUGGAACACCACAACUAUCUACAGGUGACCUAGAUGAAGAUCCCAAAGCCAGAUGUUACUGAUGAAUCACCCCUUUAUGGAGAAUGAAGUCAAGUAUACUGAAUGAUGCUUAGAACCAGUAGCUCUGGAGGACCUAGCCCUUUAGUCUCAACAGUUUGGGCCCUGGAUAUCAGAAGGACCGCCUGCUUCCAAGGGAUUCUGCCCGCUUAACCAGAUCAUCAGAGGGGGCUCUGCUCCAUGUGUCGACGGCCUUUUCCAUUGCCGCCCAGAGGUUUUGUAAUGCACUCCCUGCUGAAAUAAGAACCUCCCCAUCUCUCACAGGUUUUAAAAGGGAUGUGAAUAAUGAUGCAUUUAUUCAUCCAGGCCUUGCAUUAGAUUUAUCGAAUCCAUCAUUGUCUGCCCAGAGGCGUGAGUUUUGGGCCGUAUAUAAAUAUGAUAAAUAAAUAAUAAAGUUGGGGCAUUUUUGAAUGAUA